AUUAACAUCAUCUGAAGAUCUUGUUAAAAUGCAGGUUCUGAAACUCAGUAAGUCUGGGGCGGGACCUGAGGUUCUGCAUUUCUAACAGGCUCCCAGGUGAUGCGGAG
rnacentral:pre_miRNA from 1 species